rnacentral:rRNA from 1 species
GACGAACGCUGGCGGCGUGCUUAACACAUGCAAGUCGAGCGGUAAGGGCCCUUUCGGGGGUACACGAGCGGCGAACGGGUGAGUAACACGUGGGUGACCUGCCCUCAGCUCUGGGAUAAGCCUGGGAAACCGGGUCUAAUACCGGAUAUGACUCCAUGACGCAUGUUGUGGGGUGGAAAGCCUUGUGCGGCUGAGGAUGGGCCCGCGGCCUAUCAGCUUGUUGGUGGGGUGAUGGCCUACCAAGGCGACGACGGGUAGCCGGCCUGAGAGGGCGACCGGCCACACUGGGACUGAGACGCGGCCCAGACUCCUACGGGAGGCAGCAGUGGGGAAUCUUGCGCAAUGGGCGAAAGCCUGACGCAGCGACGCCGCGUGAGGGAUGACGGCCU